GAGUUUGAUCAUGGCUCAGAGUGAACGCUGGCGGCAGGCCUAACACAUGCAAGUCGAACGGCAGCGCAGCAGUAGCAAUACUGUGGGCGGCGAGUGGCGGACGGGUGAGGAAUACAUCGGAAUCUACCUUGUCGUGGGGGAUAACGUAGGGAAACUUACGCUAAUACCGCAUACGACCUACGGGUGAAAGCGGCGGACCGCAAGGCGUCGCGCGAUUGGAUGAGCCGAUGUCCGAUUAGCUAGUUGGCGGGGUAAAGGCCCACCAAGGCGACGAUCGGUAGCUGGUCUGAGAGGAUGAUCAGCCACACUGGAACUGAGACACGGUCCAGACUCCUACGGGAGGCAGCAGUGGGGAAUAUUGGACAAUGGGCGCAAGCCUGAUCCAGCCAUGCCGCGUGUGUGAAGAAGGCC
rnacentral:rRNA from 1 species